GUGGCGUUGCGCAUUUACUGCAAUGGCGGCACAACCGGCGAAUAUCAAGUAGUAAGUCCCCAGGAGCUCUGCCACAAGCUGCAGACACAUUUGGAACUGGACAGAGAACAAUGGUUCAGAUUCAUCUUUCUCGAAGGGAACAGAAGGAUGAGAAGUUUCUUUAACAGUAGAAGAAGCUUCGAUGUUCAGAACAACAACACUUCCACCAUGGUUGCUUUUGCUCACAGAGAUAUCCUCCAUUGUUGGAAAUUCUGAAUAAUGAAACAGAACUGUUCUUUUUUUUUUGAAGAAGAAAAAGAAGAGGAAAAGGAGAGAUCUUUUUCGUUUUUGUUUUUUUUUUUGUCUUAAAAGGAUUUAACUUUCUGGUGCUUUGAGACAGAACCGAGACACUGUCCCUUUUAUAGCUUUCCAAAAAAAUAAAAAGUCAAAGCUUUUUUUGCUUCAA